rnacentral:tRNA from 1 species
GGCUCGGUAGCUUAGUUGGUAAAGCACUUCUAUAGCGAAUAAGGGUCGUGAGUUCAAAUCUCACCUGAGCUG